GAUGAACGCUAGCGGCAGGCCUAACACAUGCAAGUCGAGGGGUAACAGAGGUGCUUGCACUUGCUGACGACCGGCGCACGGGUGCGGAACGCGUAUGGAACCUGCCUCUGUCAGGGGAAUAGCCCAGAGAAAUUUGGAUUAAUGCCCCAUAGUAUUGUAGUGACACAUGUUAUUAUAAUUAAAGAUUUAUCGGACAGAGAUGGCCAUGCGUACCAUUAGUUAGUUGGUGAGGUAACGGCUCACCAAGACUUCGAUGGUUAGGGGCCCUGAGAGGGGGAUCCCCCACACUGGUACUGAGACACGGACCAGACUCCUACGGGAGGCAGCAGUGAGGAAUAUUGGACAAUGGAGGAGACUCUGAUCCAGCCAUGCCGCGUGCAGGAUGACGGCCCUAUGGGUUGUAAACUGCUUUUAUACAGGAAGAAACCUAGCUACGUGUAGCUAGCUGACGGUACUGUAAGAAUAAGGACCGGCUAACUCCG
rnacentral:rRNA from 1 species